GACGUAGGGCGCGAGCGUUGUCCGGAUUUAUUGGGCGUAAAGGGCUCGUAGGCGGUUUGUCGCGUCGGGAGUGAAAUCCACUGGCUUAACUGGUGGCUUGCUUUCGAUACGGGCAGACUGGAGGUAUGCAGGGGAGAACGGAAUUCCUGGUGUAGCGGUGAAAUGCGCAGAUAUCAGGAGGAACACCGGUGGCGAAGGCGGGUCUCUGGGCCGAUACUGACGCUGAGGAGCGAAAGCGUGGGGAGCGAACAGG
rnacentral:rRNA from 1 species